rnacentral:sRNA from 1 species
CACAUAUAGAAGAAGAAAACAUGAAACCAUACAAAAGUUUUUUACCCAAAUUAUUGAUGCAAACCAAAUGAAAAUUAAAAGAUACAAGAACAAAAGGAAAGAAGAAAUCAAAUAAAAUUUGGUAAUUUAUUUAAUUAAAAAUCCCUUUUACUCUUUUCAAGAAUAGAAAUAUGAUGGUGGAGCUGAAGUUUAGUACUCAGUUUUUGGAGAAGGUGAAUACGAAGGUGGAGGUGGGGAUUUGUAAACAUAUGGUGGUGGGGGAGAUUUGUAUUCAACCUUUGGAGAAGGAGAAUAAUAAGGUGGUGGUGGGGAACUGUAGACAUAUGGUGGUGGAGGAGACUUGUAGUCUACCACAGGAGAAGGUGAGUAAUAUGGAGGUGGUGGAGAACUGUAGACAUACGGUGGUGGAGGAGACUUGUAGUCUACCUUAGGGGAAGGUGAAUAAUAUGGUGGUGGUGGUGAACUGUAGACAUAUGGUGGUGGAGGAGAUUUGUAGUCAACCUUAGGGGAAGGUGAGUAGUAUGGUGGUGGAGGAGAACUGUAAACAUACGGUGGUGGGGGAGACUUGUAUUCUACCUUAGGAGAGGGUGAAUAGUAUGGUGGUGGUGGGGAGCUGUAGACGUAUGGUGGUGGAGGAGAUUUGUAGUGAACCUUAGGAGAAGGUGAGUAAUAUGGAGGUGGUGGAGAACUGUAGACAUAUGGUGGUGGAGGAGACUUGUAAUGUACCUUAGGAGUAGGUGCGUAGUAUGGUGGUGGAGGAGAUUUGUAGUGCACCUUAGGGGAAGGUGAGUAAUAUGGUGG